rnacentral:rRNA from 1 species
AUACGGAGGGAGCAAGCGUUAUUCGGAAUCACUGGGCGUAAAGGACGCGUAGGCGGGUUUGUAAGUCAGGUGUGAAAUCCUACAGCUCAACUGUAGAACUGCACUUGAAACUACAGACCUAGAGUAUGGAAGGGGCAGAUGGAAUUAGUGGUGUAGGGGUAAGAUCCGUAGAUAUCACUAGGAAUACCGAAAGCGAAGGCGAUCUGCUGGGACAUUACUGACGCUGAGGCGUGAAAGCGUGGGGAGCAAACAGGAUUAGAAACCCCGGUAGUCC